UUUUAGGUUCAGACCCAGAAACGAUUGAUCAGUGGAUUGAUCUGGUCCAGGAGAAGAACAGUCUGCUCUCAGAGGAGUCCGAUCUCAUGGUGGCGUCUCGACAGCUGGAGCUGGAAGACAAACAGAGCAUGUUAGAGAUGGAGCUGCGGAGAUACAUGGAAAUGGAUGAUUCUGAGAAAAGCCCUGAGCAGCGAGAACAUGAGAGUCAGGUCCUGCAGGAGAUGCUGGACGUGGUGGACAUGAGGGAUUCACUGGUGGCCUUCCUGGAGGAGAAGAGGCUGAAGGAAGUGGAUGAUGAGUAGCUCCGUGCUGGAGGCCGCAGCAUCCCAGGUGCUCUGGGACUAAGACACCACAACACCGUAAUAGAGUAGUUCACCAUUUACUCAUCCUCAUGCCGUUAUAAACCUUCUA